UUAACAUCCAAUCAGCAACAGUGGGAUUCAAAAAUUACCCAAUCAGGACCACGCAAGCAAGGGGGCUGGAAGCAGGUGGUGGCACUUGGGCCGGUGGCUCUCUGCCGCUGGGCCUGGCCCCAGCAGCGUGCCCUACAACUGGCCAUGCACAGCCCUGGCCUGCGGAGAUGGCCCUACAACUGGCCAUGCACAGCCCUGGCCUGCGGAGAUGCAGAACGACAGGGAGGCAGCAAGCAGCCACUUUCCAGUGCCCAACAUUUUCCAUGCUCAUGUCUGGAGCAUGAAGAGGAAGAGGAAAGGAGCUACUUCAACUUAGCAGGUGAAAACCAAAAUGCCAGAAGAGCUAAAGAUUCCUAUAGGCGAAGAGGAAGUUAUUUCUCCCGAGACCACUAGGGAAGAGAGGAGGAGGAGAAUCACAGGAGGGGGAGAAUCACAUGGGGGUGUGUGUGUGUGGGGGGGUGUAGAUCCUAUAUUAUGUUGUUACACAAAGCUGUGUGUAAUCUUUGAGGCUCUUUCAGGAAUAAAAUCUAUGCCA